AUUCUGGGAAACGCUGGGAGGAGUUUGGUUCUAUCUUUUGUUUCUUGUUCCUUUGACUUUUGGAUCAGACCUGCCAUUUCCCUUGACAGGGAACUCCUGGGGUGGAAACUGUCUCCACUGAGGCAGAUACAUUAAAGGAGACAUGGAUCCUCUUUUUUACUUCUCUUUUCUGAUUUGACUGUGUGGUACAAGAUAUCGUCACUCAGGAGUAAUUCAGGUCUGUCUUCAGUCCUGGAAAAACUGAGCAGCUCCUGGACAGAUCUGAAGAAAAUGGUGGUAUACCCUAGGCUGUGACAAAGGAGAAUCCUGGUGACGACAUGGCCAAUGGCCUUGCUGUAUCUUUCAUUUUAAUACCAAUACAUUAUGUCUACAGAGGCAAUUUGGAAAAUCUCUAGGAGCUGUCUAUUAAUCAUCAACUCCUGGAGAUCUAUGUUGGUGGAGGACUUCCCACACUGGGCAUUAUCUCAUGUGAUAUGUUGCCAUAAAUUGUACCUAGAAGGGCUUAUCUGGCAGACAUAAGAGUAAACAGAAACAUCCUGGACCACAUCCCAGCUCCUUCCCUAACAAAUCUCACUGGAUUUCAAGAUUCUCCUCACCUGCCACCUGGCUUCCAACCCUAGAAAAAAGUCGGCCACCAAGAGGCAGGGACCAUCCAUGUCCUUCAAUAUAGUCAUCUGGUAUGGGUGAUGAAGAGGCAGAGGGACUGAAUGAGAGGAUCUCCUACCCAUGCCCUUAUCUCUGACUCUGUCUCCCUUUCCCUCUUCCUCUCUCUGUUUCUAUCUUUCAUUUCCCCUGUCCCCACAAUUCUUCUUCCCCUCCAAGCCUAUGGUACCUAGCCCCUACCCUCCUUCUUCCUCUCCAGCUAACUUAUUUACCUCUUCAUUAAACAAUAUCUG